GGGUUGUAGAGGAAAUUGUUAAUCCUCGCCUUGGGGGCGAAUGGUUUCUCGUGGUAACAAUUUUCUCUAUCGCCCUAUCUAUGUGCUGUUUAUAUAAAUCGAGGCAACAGUAGUAUACCGGUGUUUUCAAAAGUCAUAAAUCGAUAGAGAGAAAACUUAUCUGGUUUACAAACUAAAAUUGAGGAAAACACAUAAACUAUAAGAGGAAACCAAAGAAAUAAAAGGAACAAAAGGAAUAACAGGAACCUUGAAGUGCAACAAAAACAAAGCUUCAACAUACAUAGAAUCGAAGUAUUUGAUAACAACUGCCAUAUUCCUAACUUACAGGACAAUUUAAGAAAAACAUGGUGGGUUGAUAGUUUUAUGGCUAGCAAAACCUCCUGCUUAAUGACAAUGUUAAAAAUAUCGUCGAAAUAACAUCACUACGUGACAUAAAUACAGCACAAACACACAAAUGAAUAUUCAUCACAGAGAAACGCAAAACAAAUAAUAUAGAAGUCGUUCCAACAUGCAAACCACAGAACAACAACAAACAUUCAUACACAAC
rnacentral:lncRNA from 1 species